AUUGAACGCUGGCGGCAGGCCUAACACAUGCAAGUCGAACGAGUGGCGGACGGGUGAGUAAUGUCUGGGAAACUGCCUGAUGGAGGGGGUUAACUACUGGAAACGGUAGCUAAUACCGCAUACCAUCAGAUUUGCCCAGAUGGGAUUAGCUUGUUGGUGGGGUAACGGCUCACCAAGGCGACGAUCCCUAGCUGGUCUGAGAGGAUGACCAUCCACACUGGAACGGAGACACGGUCUGGACUCCUACGUGGGGUAGCAGGGGGGAAAAUUGCACAAUGGGCGCAAGCCGGAUGCAGCCAUGCCGCGUGUAUGAAGAAGGCCUUCGGGUUGUAAAGGACUUUCAGCGGGUAGGCGUUACCCGCAGAAGAAGCACCGGCUAACUCCGUGACAGCAGCCGCGGUAAUAC
rnacentral:rRNA from 1 species